AAAAGUUACUCUGUGAUGAUUGUGACUAAGAGACUACCUGGGAAUCCUACUACACUGCAGACUAAAAUGAAAUUGUGUAGAAUUCAGGAACUCUACUGAGCUGAGAGCUAAAAUGGUGUAGAAGACAAAGAAAUGCUGAGAACUGUAAGUAAAAACAGCAGCUAAGCUUUUGCUCGUGGAAUACAGAUGAAGCAGUGAUGAUUUUUUUUCUUUAAACAAUAAGCCUGGC